CAUUGUGCGCAUUGUGAUUUUUGGAUAUGAUAUGAACUACGUCCACAUCGUCUGCACAAUGUGUGCGUCUUAUUCCGACGCUUACCAAAGCUAGAUGUACCCUUCGUCUGUGAACAUUACAAGAACCAUAAGAUUACUUUAUAAUAAAGCGAUAGAAAACACGUGAAUAAACGCUCACCAUCUUGCACGAAGAAGCACGUCAAAAGAGGCGAGGAAUGAAAAUUAAAAAGGUUACGUUAACCCUGUUUUAGCAGUACCAACUAAACAAACCGAAGAUCUAUACUUUAUUAAAAUAUUUUACCGACAGUCGAUAAUUUAUCUAGUAAUGCCAUCUGUGAAGAAUUUCAGGAAUUUAUUAUUUUUUUUUCGUUAUAUUGACAAAGAAUAAAUUAGUUUUUCUUUUUUA